AGUGAACGCUGGCGGCAGGCCUAACACAUGCAAGUCGAACGGCAGCACAGUAAGAGCUUGCUCUUCCGGGUGGCGAGUGGCGGACGGGUGAGGAAUACAUCGGAAUCUACUUUUUCGUGGGGGAUAACGUAGGGAAACUUACGCCAAUACCGCAUCCGACCUACGGGUGAAAGCAGGGGAUCUUCGGACCUUGCGCGAUUGAAUGAGCCGAUGUCGGAUUAGCUAGUUGGCGGGGUAAAGGCCCACCAAGGCGACGAUCGGUAGCUGGUCUGAGAGGAUGAUCAGCCACACUGGAACUGAGACACGGUCCAGACUCCUACGGGAGGCAGCAGUGGGGAAUAUUGGACAAUGGGCGCAAGCCUGAUCCAGCCAUACCGCGUGGGUGAAGAAGGCCUUCGGGUUGUAAAGCCCUUUUGUUGGGAAAGAAAAGCAGCAGGUUAAUACCCCGCGGUUCUGACGGUACCCAAAGAAUAAGCACCGGCUAACUUCGUG
rnacentral:rRNA from 1 species